GAGAAUAUAAUAUCCAUAUUACUUUAUGAACAAAACAGACUUUUUCUAUUUAGAAUACUACCUCCAUUUCUAGCUUUAUAUGUUUUGGGGUUUUAGCUGAGACUAUUAUGGAAAAAGCUGAAAAGCUAUAGGCAAAAUUUAAUAUGGGUAUUUAUCAGGCAAUGCAAAACUUUUUUGCAGUGAUUAGGAAAUCACCUCUUUAGUUGCUUUAAAUCAUAUGUAUAUUUCAUAUUUAUGUGAUGUUUAUAUAUAAUGAUUUCCUUUAGAUGAAGAAAUACAUUAUAUUGUCUACUACAUAAUUACUUUUGCCAAACUGUCUCAAACAAAAUAGCAUUUCUUCAGACGAGAAAUUCUAUUAAAGAUCCAAUCUGCAAAAUUUACACUCAUGCUUAGCUAUACAACAUCCAAAUAUUCCCAAUGAACUCAGUGGAAAUGUUCCCAGGUCUCAGUUCUUCAGGCUCCUGUUACGCUGCAAAGUAUUUAAACAUAUUCUCAAGUCCCCUUACCUUUACAGAGCUGUAAGAACAAGUUUAUAAUUAAUUAAUUUUUUAAUUGUGACAACCAUUUCACUUUGUCCAAGUGCACUUCAGCCAAAUGCCUUUGGGUUUAACUCUGGUACCCCAGUUACUACUAUAUUACACAGCAGCCUUCUCAAAUGCAAGAAUGGUUUUCUUUAAAUGGGUAAAUACUGAAGAUAUCAGCAGUAACUAAAGUAGAAAGCCAUGUGUUGUGAAAAUUAACACGUAGGCCCUAAUUUAGAAAACCUGUGAUCAGAUAUUUACAGGCACUUCUAAUCAGUUAACUGUUUACUUAUUUAAAUGCAUACCCAUGGCAAUAUCCAUAUGUUAAGGGUGAGGGAUUGUUCUCAGUCCCUAUGGCAAACUCCACAGCAAAUGUAAAGCAAAGCAAAGCUGUCUUACCUCAACCAAUUCUCCAGAAAUAGAGUUGCUGAAUCUAAAUGUCCCAUGGGGAAUAGUCCAUGGAACAGACUCCUUCUGAAUAAUACCUACAGACUUCUGGAAGGCUGCUAACUAGGCAAGGCCAAAGGCUUCCUGGGACUGAAAUUCCCAGGAUUAGAGAUGACCAUAAUUGGAUGUUCAGGUCUAUGUCCUGGACCUCAUAGUCUUUCUUGCACAGAGAUGUACAGUAGGGCAGAUGUGGAGGAUAGACAUCUGAGUCUAAAAUAUAAAUACUACAAUGAAUGUGAAUAGACUUCCUGAAUGAAAAAAAAAAUCUGAAUUAUUAAUUAUAAAUACAUUUUCCAACAUCUUUAGGUUUUUUGUUUUUUGGUUUUCUUUGUCCUCAUGAAUUCACAGAUUCUUUCAAAUCACUGGCAAUGUAUUCAUCUUCUCAUGGGGUUGCAAAUAGUUCUGUCAGUGCAUUUCUGCAUUGUGCAUUAAGAGCUUAUUCCAGCUAUAGUUUGCACUGGUUUCUUUUUAUUAUUUUUACCAUUUAAACUCAAAUUGAAUCAUAACCAGAUUGUUAUAGUCCUUGGGGGGAGGAGGGAAGUUUUAGGAGGCUGAAGUAUUUUAAAUGGGAGAAUUUUGACUAAUGACUGAUGAAUAAUAAGCACCAUCAUCUGAAUCAUUAUUUUUUUCCUAGAAGUCCCCAGCCUUUUGAUUCUGGAAGGACCUUUAUUGAGUCAUAUCUUUGGCUUGGAUUCAGGCAAAUAUUUUUGUCAUUCUGCAAAUAACAGAAGUGGUGAAUUGUGGAAAAUUUCCAUCAACUCCUGUAUGAAAUAGUGGUACAGCUCUAUGUUAGGGUUUAUUGCACAUCUUUUCUGGUUUAGAAUUGCUCUCUAUACGAAGAAAUUUCUUCAGCUAAAAUUGACUAGAUCUAUGUGAGUUGUGGUUUGGAUACUUUGAUGUCAAUAACAUCCUAAACCAUUACACAAUUCAGAUAUGACACUUGGUAGUUCUUCACCUCUAAUUCUGGUAUGUCCCAACAGAAAUAAAUAAAUAAAUAAAUAAAUUAGCAGGGCUAUGAUAUGAUUUUCUUACACAGAAUUCUUCUAACAUCUCCAAAAUAAGAAGACUUUUCUUCCAUCUAUACUUACAAGAAGUGCCCACCCUUGAGAUGUAUGAAUAACAUCCAGAGGAAGAAGAAUUGAACAUGACAUCAGGGAGUAUCUGACAACAUAAAAAAAUGCAGGAAAUGUAUAUAUGAUAAUCUUUGGAUUUUGAAGUAUUGUCUUUGUCCUAACAUGUAGACUUGUAAUUUUUGCACAGAUAUUUAAAUACUUUCUGCCUUUUAUGACAUCUUGUUCAAGUGGAAAAUGAUGGUGGUGAUUUAGGUUUGUCGCAUUCACUUCCAGUGUUAAUACUCUUAACAGUAUUAAAAUGACUUCCACUAAGUGUGGUUAAAUUUAUUUGGGAAGCCAAUUAAAUAUGUAAUAUUAGGGAAUUUUAAUACUGAGUGGGGUUAAUGAAAGUCUUAAUGUGGUUUAAUUAAUCAAAUUUAAAUUCACGCCUCCAGAGUCUUAUGAUCAGUUCUCCAGAAUUUCCCAUUAAGUGCAGGAAACUAGAUUUAUUGUCUUCUUUUCUACCAGUGAGCAGGAAAUGCCUGGACAAAAGCUUUUGUAGCACAGAAUAUAAUUAGCACAGUACAUUGCUAUUAUCCUUUACGUUGUCCUUAAAAGCUUAGAAGAGAGAUGUUUCAGAACCAGAAGAUGAAGAUGUUUACUGAAGUUUGGCUUCCAACUUACUGCUGAAAUUCAGGUAGCUAUUGUUGGUACCCUUGACAAUUUUGCACCAGUCCACCAGAAUUAUUUGAAGUCACUACAGAGCAAUGCCAUUCUCUUUCUGCUCCAAUGCAAGGGAGACGUUUUAUGAGAAAUGCCCUACUGACUUGAAGCAAGACAGAAAUGCAGACAGCAACGUGUAUCAUUCCAGCCUUCUGCUCUCCAGAAAAGAUAGUGCUUGUGAGAUUUCUGGUUGGCCCCUACUGAAGGUUGUUCACAUGUGUUCUGAAGGCAGCGCAGUACAGGACAGAGAAAUAGUGACCACUCGUGUUAUUCCAAAGCGUUAUCUUCCUGAUCUGUAAUCAAGCAGAUCAUUAUGGUUUACAGAUGGAAGGGGAAGGCAGACAGUAGAUUGGGAAGCUGUGGAAGAGGAAAUGCAUCAAGUUCAAUUCAGCAGAGCAAGCACUUAGAGAAGCAAAAGGAACAAAUCACAGCCUCAGAAACGGAGUUUGGCUGCUUAUCAGGUUUUUACACAAAUGAUCUCUGUGCCUGAAGUCUGAGCAAUUCUUCUGAAGGAACAACAGAAGUUAGAAAUCUGAUUUAGCCUGACAAGCCGAAUGAAGCUUGGUGGAACUGAACAUAUAAAAGAUGAUAAUUACUGAGGACUUUUCAGAGAACUCACAAGAAUCCGUCCAGAGGGCUCACUCUGUACCAAAACAAGUGUCAAAAUAGAUGAGUGAAACUUCAUGGUCAGGAAAACCCCAUUCACUGGGAAGAGUCUACUGAUACUAAAGAUGAGGAUUCACUGGCAUCAAGUAUCAUGAAAAUAAAGCUUGUUCAUGAUGGAGCAUUUGCAGAAGCUAUUCACACCAUUUGCAUCUACAGUUUUUACUCAUCAAUUAAGUGGC
ensembl:lncRNA